GGUUAAAAAUUGGCAAUUGGGUAAUAGGAGGAAACAUAAAAUCAUAAAGGUAAAAUUAAGCAGGAGCAGAAGGGGACAAGAGGCAAAUCUGCCACAAUGUGCUGGUCACGACAACAUGAGAGGGGGGUGAUGGUCAGAGAUGGUUGGAACCAAAUAUAGGACAGUCUGGGAAGAAAACCUGAUGGAGUCUGCAGAAGACCUGAGACUGGGACAGAGCUUCAGCUUCCAGCAGAACAACGACCCUAAACAUAAAGCCAGGGAUACAAUGGAAUGGAUUAAAGCAAAAUGUAUCAGUGUUA